rnacentral:rRNA from 1 species
UGAGUAAUGUCUGGGAAACUGCCUGAUGGAGGGGGAUAACUACUGGAAACGGUAGCUAAUACCGCAUAACGUCGCAAGACCAAAGAGGGGGACCUUCGGGCCUCUUGCCAUCAGAUGUGCCCAGAUGGGAUUAGCUAGUAGGUGGGGUAACGGCUCACCUAGGCAAACAAUCCCUAGCUGGUCUGAGAGGAUGACCAGCCACACUGGAACUGAGACACGGUCCAGACUCCUACGGGAGGCAGCAGUGGGGAAUAUUGCACAAUGGGCGCAAGCCUGAUGCAGCCAUGCCGCGUGUAUGAAGAAGGCCUUCGGGUUGUAAAGUACUUUCAGCGAGGAGGAAGGCGAUAAGGUUAAUAACCUUGUCGAUUGACGUUACUCGCAGAAGAAGCACCGGCUAACUCCGUGCCAGCAGCCGCGGUAAUACGGAGGGUGCAAGCGUUAAUCGGAAUUACUGGGCGUAAAGCGCACGCAGGCGGUCUGUCAAGUCGGAUGUGAAAUCCCCGGG